AGUAGAGGACCAACUGUAGAUUUCACUUUUGUCCCCGUGCUGGCUUCGGUAAAACUCGGUUUCAGCCGUCGUCUUCGUGUUUUUCCGUCUCUCACGGGACCCCAACACGAAGCCAAGAUCUGCGCCAUAUCUAACGUCAGCAUGAGCUUACACGGAUGUGAGUGGUCCCUGAUUUCUUCCUUCACCAAUAUAUCCCUUUAAAUGUCUUCACACUGAUUGGAAGCAUUAUAAGCUUUGAAAAAAAUAAACAAAAGGAAAACAUUUCAGGUAUUAGUGAUAGAGAGUAAAGGUUGUGACAGAAAACCUGUUCAUGAUGAACUGCUGUUGCAGUCAAGCUGAUUGAUGAAAGGUUUGUCACAAACGCCCACCACAGAUCCAGGUCACCAGCUAAAAGCCCUUCUAGUUCUGACAUCAGGAAGACUUCAAACCCAAUUCUGAAAGAACCAAGGGGCUCUAAAAAAAACAGGAGGAAGAGGAGGAGGAGGAGGAGGAAAAGAUGGGCGAUGCGUCCUUUGGUCUGGGUUCACAGUGAGUGACGCUCUUGACUCAUCAUCCAGCUACCUCAUGAGCAGCACAGAUAAAUAAGCUGGAGCGCACCUGCUCUUCAUUAACAACUUCAAACCUCCACCGACUGAUCACGGCCCUGACCAAAG